UUGAAAAGCACACCUUUACUUAUACAGAAUGGAAGGACAUGGAGGCCAAUGGGCUCUUAGCCCCCAUCGUGCCCCUGGGCUGUUGGGGUGCCCCACUCUGGCAGCCACCGCUAGCCGAGUUCCCCUCAGGAUGGGGGCAACCACUUAGCACCAUGCUCGAGUACUCCUGGGUUCAGUAGUACUCAAAAGAAAGAGGAUGCUGCUCUGGGAAGUUCCUAGUUAAGGUGGGAGUGGACAGUGACUGGGACAGCAACAGGCUCAUAGGACAGCUUCUGCCCCAAAGCAGAGGUUCCCAGCCAGCAGCUGUGGCAUCUCCUCCUGGACUUCUGGGGGCAGCCACCGUGUCAGUCCGCUCUGGGUCUCUGGGUAAGUGAGGCUAAGGGGUUGUUCUUCACCUUGUAAGUUCCGAUUCUGGGUGCCCAUUCUACCCUGCAGAGCUUCAUGGAGUGAGCUGGACAACGUGGGCCAUGGCGGUCCUUCUUGUCCUUAAAACCCACACCCGUGUGCCUUGCCACCUGUCCGCCAAACCUCUCGUGCCUCCACACCCUCAUAGAUGACGUGGUUUUUACACCCACUGGUACCGGCGUGGUCAGGGAGAGGGAGCCUUGGGCAAGGCUUCUGGGAGCAGGUGAGACAAGAAUGGUGUUUGGAGGGUGCGGAGAUGGCAGUGAGAUGGGGAAGCCCAUUCCAGGCCAGGGAAUGGCAUGCAGGAAUGUUCAGCCGCGGCAGGUGUGCGCUCAUGACUGUGUGAGCGGGAGCUCUGGCUGGGGCCAGGCAGAAAUCCCAGCCCCCUGGGCUCCCCCCAGCCCCAUACCCUUAUAUAGCCUUCCUCACGCUCCCAGAGCUCGGGGGUGGGGACGGAGCCCUCCCCCUACUGUACUCCUGCGGGGAGCCCGCAGCUAGCUGGGUGGGAGCCCACUCCCUCAGGAUCGUCUUGUCAUCACAGCCGGAGUCAGCUGUUGGUUUGGGAAGCCUUCCCUGGUCCAGUGUUUCACCGUGCGCAGCCAGAAAUAUAACCCUCCUGUUUGCCAAGAGCAUUGGAUCUUGGCAGGCAUCCGUGUGGCCUAUUUUAAACCAAAGGGAGCCGAGAGAGGUGCCUCCCAGGCUGAGCCAAGGACCCUUUUCUUAUGGGCCCAGUGGGGCUACAGGGGUCUUGUCACUUUCUCCCUCCAUGGGCUGGUGGACAACAGUCUUGAGGGGAGAGUGCAGGGGAUGGGAAAUAGGGCUGUUUUGGGGCCUCUAGAAGAGGCUUUAUACGAUUACAUGGGGAGCCCUAAACUGACCCUGGAAAGUUCGGUUCUUUAGCUCCCCUGUGUUGUUGUGGCCGUAUAUGGGUGACCUGUUUGUCACCUGGAGAAAGGGGGCAUGCAUGGACCUGCCCUCUCUCUCAAAGAGCUCCUCUGACCUCGGAGAGUGGGACAUCUCCUGAGCCCCUGUCAUCCUGCUUCAUUGGCCAGAGUCCCAGGCAGAGCCUCCUCGAAGCAGACCCAAGUUUGUAAGCAAACCAGAUAAAAAGACAGCAGGAUUCAACUGCUUACACGGCUGCCCGCUGGGUCUGUGAACGGAGCCGUCAUGUGAUCGCUCCUGAAGGAUCGGCAGGGGCCGGUGCUCCGGAUCUUAGCAUCUGCAUCUGACUGCCUGAGCUUCCCAGUGGGCCAGUUUCUUAAUCUCUGGGAGAGCCUCGGUUUCUUAUCUGUAAAUGGGGAUGAUCGUGAUCCCUACGUCAUUGAUCUUAGUGGGGGUGCAAUGCAUUAAUGGGUCUGAGGGGCGGGCACCUGCUGCAGAGAAGGGCCACGUGAGCUUGGCCACUCUGGUGGCUGCUGCUGGGACUUCUGUAGCCUGUGCGGAGUUCCCAGAGUAUCUCGUAGACCGUGCUUGCAGUGGGGCUGAAGCCUGGAGAGGACAGGCCACUGAUGGGCCCAGGAUCAUCUUAGGUAGAAAAUAGUCAUCCUCCAUUAAGCAUCCACAGAGCAACAUGUAAGGGUAGGAAUCUGGUUGCUGUUCCCAAGGAGCCCCGCCAUAGGAGGCUGAAUGUCAGUGGUGGUGGUGACGGGGUGUUCAUGCCAGACCAUACAUAGGGAGGCGCCAUAGCAUGUCCCUGGGGAUCAUUCUGUCCACUGUGCUUCAACCCAGUGGCAUGCUCUCGUGUGGGCACAUGGAUGCUUAGAGCCCUGGAGAUUCUGAUGCAUGGGCCUGGGGCAGGGCCUGGGCAUCUGCAAUGUCACAGACCUUCUUGGGUGACUCUGAUGCCCAGCAGGGGAGUGGAGGGGUAGGGAUGGUGGAGUCACCCAGAGCUGGGGACAGAGCCUAACUGCUUGGUCUCAGGUGAUUGUGCCCGCCUCCUCAGGCUGGUGUGGUACUGAGUGGACUCUCAACACCCAUCCCAGAACCUAGUGCGUGAGCCUGUUCUCCAGACAGUGACAGCGGGGGUGAUCUUGAAGCAUGGGCAUGGGGUGGGGGGUGGGGGCACUCCUCUGUCAGGCCCUUGCCUUGCCUUCUUUGGACCAGGUGCUGCCUGCCUCCAGGACUCCAGCUUCUUUCCCAUACCCUUUCAGUCUUAGACAUCCCCCCUGCAACAUCCCUAUAUUGGAGGCCGAAACGGUAGGCGGGGCCUCCUCAUCUUAGAGGUAAGGAGGACGGGGACCUUGGCCCCCUCCUGGGUCAGGACAGCAGCUGUCUUUUCAACUGGCUUAUGCCUGAGCUGCAGGCUCCACAGUGGCACUCAGCACAUCUCUCCACCAGAAGGAGAGCUAGUGUGAACGGGUUGGGUCUGGCUCAUGCAUCUGCUGACGACGCUGAUGACAGUGGCAGUGACAAUAUUAUCCAGUGCCUGUGGGACCUUUACUGGGUACCAGAUGCUGCUUGAGGUGCUUUCUGUGCCUUAACUUAUUUUUGCCUUGUGACAACCCUGGAGGAGGUACCAUUAGCGAACCCAUUGAACAGAUGUGGUAGGUUGAGUCGCCAAGGAGCUGUUAGCUGGGGAGGGCCUUGUAUCCCUGUGUGCCUUUCCCUAGUCUUGGUUCUUUUUGUAUCAAGUUCAAGCCUGUUUUCAGGAGUGGCCCGUGGCUGGGGACAGGCGUGGACGUUUCUCUCAGUAGUUUGUAAGCACCUCAUGGGAGGGAUGCUGCAGGCAUGCCUGUGUAGUGACUGUUGAGCGAAUUGUGUUUGCUGGUUUCCAGGGGACAGGGGAGAGGGUGGCAGCUGUCCCAUCACUAGGAGAGCUGUGCUGACGCCAACCUGCCCACCCUGUGGGCUUCCUGCUGCCGUUGUCAGCUCCCCUUUGUCCCCCAGAGCCCAGAAUAGCCAUCCGCAGUCAAGGGAGACAAUGAGGAGGGAGGCACGUGGCUGAGCUGGAGGGCCGAUGGGUGCAGGACGGUCAACCUUGGGGCUUCCGGCCUGGCUCCGACUGUCCCGCCAGCUCCGGGCUUUUUAUAGCAAGGCUGCGUUAGGCGAGCCCAGCGAGUUUGUGCAUGGGCCGCAUCUGAUGGCAGCAUGUGGACCCUUCGCAGAGGUGGCCUGAGGAGACGUGGCCCCUGGGCUGACCUGGGUUUGAGUCUCUGCAGCAGCUGACUUGCCCUGCCCAUAGCCAGUCAGCGCAACUGAAAAAGGAAACGGGCCAUGCCCUACCCAGCUCUAUUAUUAAACUUUUCUCCAGCACUUUCUCUGCACUCAGCCCUUUGCCACCAUAUUUGCGAGACUGUCCUGGUGCCACCCCAAGUGGAUGUGGCCAUAGGAAGCCAGGAUAGGGAGGACAGAACAGGUGCUGGGUUUGGUUUCCUGCAAGUGCCAUCAGGAUUUCCUUUUUUAUUUUUUAUUUUUAUAUUUUUUGGUGGCUGAAGAAUGACUUAUUUGCAGAAGGAACUUCUUCGGGAACCUAGCCCCAUAACCCAAAGUCAUAGAGCCUUUCCCUUUAGGUUACUCUUAGCAUAAGGCAAGCGUCCUCUAGACUGGACAGACACGCUGUUGGUGAAAUCUUGGUUCAGGCCAAUAAACGUACUCUUGAGGAUACGCCGGUACUGGGAAGUCUGAGCGUUCUCCUGGGCCCAGAGCAGAGUCCAGUUCAGUGGACAUGUGGCCCGUGCAGGAACAAAGCUGGAUUUCCCUUUCAUAUCUCCGAGGCAUGGGCAGUUGCUCUUACUCUUUCCUUGAGGGGAAGGGCGGUCUUUCCCUCGCCAAUCACAUCCUUGAGGGCCGGGCUGUUAGCUGGUCACUCACCCCUGCCUUCCUUCCCUCCCUCCGUCUCCCUCUCAGCCCCUGCUCCCUCCCUUCCCCUCUCCUCCCUUCCUUCCUUCUGUCUAGGAAGUUGAGGUUUACAACAGAAUUGAGAGGAAAAUUCAGAGGUUUGCAGCGUACCCCUUGCCUCCCAAACAUGCAGAGCCCUGCAUCACUGACCAGAGUGGUGUGUAUAUAUGUUUUUCACCACGAAUCAACUUUUGUUGACUCAACAAUCGUCCAGAGUCCAUAGUUUACCUUAGGGUUCACUCUUGCAGGUGUGACUUCAGUGGGUUUGGGCAAACACACAGUGUCACGUAGCCAUCAUCGUGGUAUCAUACCGAGUGCUUUUACUGCCUUAAAAAUCCUCUGGGCCCUGCCUGCUCAUCCUUUUACCCCUGCAACCGCCCGUCUUCUUUCUGUGUCCGUAAAGAACGUCGCAUGGUUGGAAUCACACCGUAUGAUCUCAGAGUGGCUUCCUUCACGUAGCGACAUGCACGUUAAGUCUCCUCUGUGUCUCUUCGGGGCUCAGUAGCUCGUUUCUGUUCAGCACUGAAUGUGAUUCCAUUGUCUGGAUGGGCCUCCUCUUUUGCAGAGGUGGGGAGACCUGUCCCCCAACUAGACCCAUUCCCGCGUCAAGACUCACUUACACAAGUGUCUCCACUCCCACUCUCUCCGUGGUUUUGUCCUUGCUUUCCAUUUGUUGGGUGUCAGAGCUGGGGAGGUGAUGAAUGAGGAAGGAGGAGAGGGGUCAGGGCGCCGGCGGUAGGAGGGGGCGGGACAGGCAAGCCUGAGGCCUAGCGGUGAGCUGGUGAGAAGCGGGGGAGCCAAGGCCCAGCCAAUGGGGGGCCCGGCGCUGCCCAAGGGGUGUAAGACGUUGUUGAACACAGCCCUUGGUGCCUUGCAGGGCCACUCGGAACCUGGCAAGGGCCCCCUGCAGGGGUCCGGCUCGGCCGAGUCCCCGAGGCCGAGGCCACAGGCCUGGUGCUGGGCACUUCACUGUGACGGGAGGUGUCUGGUUCCCUGCAGAGGCGAGCAGGUUAUAAAUAGUGCAUGACGGGCUGCUGUAGCGUAAUCGUCGAUUUUGAGAGUGCCCUGGCGAGGGUUAGGAGGGAUGGACGAGGUUAGAUUCGGUCCUGUUGGCUGAUUGGCAUUUCUUGAGCGGGGUGCUAAUCCCUUCAGGAGGUCAGAUAAGCUCUCUUGCGGCGCCCCUGAUCUUGACUUUGAGGCCAAGUUAACUCUUUCAGGGGACUGCCAAAGAACCCCAAAGUCAUGACCACUCCACGUUGCCUAAAACAGAGCAGAACGGGGCUUGGGCAGGGCCCGUCCCAGGCAGGGUUGGUUCCUGAAUUACAGAAUGCACUUUGCUAUGUGGCCAUGGCUCCAACCAGGCCAUCCAAAUGGAGGGCUGUUCUGGGACAGCCUUGUGGUUAAAGAGGACAGAAGCGACUUCUCCCUGGGAAGUCGUGGAGGCCUCAGGCAGCCUGACUUUGCUGAGUAUCAGGGGUGAGGCAGAUGGAAGGCUCUUAGCAGGCAGCACUGAAGGUUGGGGGUUCCUUCUACCACCAGUUCUGUGUGCCAACAACCCCCAUAGUCCAAUGAGUUGGGAGACCCCUCCCAGUCACGUCUUCUGUGACCCUCGAAAGUAAAGGCAGAAAGCUCCCCUCCUAAAACUCACUGGGCUUUUGGGGGUUUCCUGCCCCUGCCUGGUCUGCUGGAGGUACCAUGCCUCACCCUGAGUGCAGAGUUAAGGGAAGCUCUUGGCCCUGUUUGCCCCACCCCAGGGGCUCUGGGGCAGCAGGUGGGUAGUUCUUUGCAGCCAGCUCUGGGGGUGCUCGGUCCUUCCCCUUCAAGUGCAUGGGGUUCUGGCUCAGCUUUCCUCUCUGAGUCUGACCUGCUUCCCUCCCUAAGCUGGGGGUCCCGCUCUAUUUCCUUCUGUGAUGGAUAGGCCAUGCUCACGGGUUUCUUGGAACCUCCUCUUUCUAGGACCGUAAAACCUGGUCCCCGUGGAGUGUCACGGCCCCCAGUGGGCCGUCUCCUGCUUUAUGGCUGCUGGAUCUCGGCGGCGCUCAUUCCCCCGUCACAGAGCUGUGGCAUCCAAGAACAACAGCAACUGCUUGUUCCAUUAUAAACUCAACUAGCUGAAACCCGCUGAGACGCGGGGGGAUAAAUUAUCCCCAACAAGCUCUCCUGUUAAAAGCCAGGCCCCCUUCCACUGCUCCCACCCGGUUCCCCUUUGUGGGCAUCUCAGCGGGGUUUCUGGAGCCUGCCUGCUGGCUGUCCCUUUCCAAUGCCCUUCCUACCUGCUGUGAUGGCUUCUCUCUAGCCACCGAGUGUGACAAGUCAGGAGGCUUUGGGCAGAGGACUAAAACUCCCGGUGCCCAGAAGUGGAGAAGAUUGGAUUUUAUUCUUCAGUUUCUUUCUGUUCUUUGUCCGAGAAGGAUACCUCCAAAGCAGUAGGAUCUUAGCUGAUCUUAUAGGGUGACUCAGGAUGGGGGGAAUCAUCCUGCCAGACAGGGGCUCUCCGGGUGAUGAUGAGUUGCUCACAAUGCGUGUACUUGGAGAUAAGCCUGUGGUCAGCUUGAGGGGGACCUUGGCUGCUCGGCCAGAGGAGCUUGGGCUCCUCACGCAUGCGGUGGGGCAGGCUGGGGGGUGUAGCUGAGCUCCUGAGCAUAGAGAUGACACGGUAAAAGUGGUCUUAGGAAGAAUAGAAUAAUUGCGGCAGGGAAGAGAGGUGCUGGGGUGGUGUUGGCAAGUAUGGGUGUGUCAGGGGCCAGUUGAGAACUGACCAUCUACGUGCAGCUUGACGCUGUCUUGGGCCAAAUCUGCACCCCCCUCCCCAGACUGUCCUUGCCCACAGAUUCUGGGGGUUCGGGAAGGGAGAGCCUUUGUGGCUGACUCUUGUGGGCCCAGGAUGUGUUCUCUAGACGUGGGAAUAUAGUCUGGGGCUCACAACUCUGCUGGGAUGGGGAAGGGCAAGGCAGGCCCUCCUUUCCUGGAGGGAGGCAGACCUCAUGAAGCAUUUUUGGUGUUGCUUGUCAUCUCCUUCAGUGAGCUAGGAAGAGCAGAGGGAGCCAUGGCUCCUUCCCUGUGGCUCAAGCUGCUAUUUGGUAUUUGAGAUCAAGAUGUCCAGUGAGUUGGCUCUUAUCCUCCAUCUUCCUCCUCCCACUGAGGUUGCAAGCAUCUUGGAGUGACCCCAGAUCCCGAGCACUGGUGGGUAAUACCAGUUACCUUUUUCCUGGAACCCCAGUGCCUGCUCCAGGGCAUUCUGCCGUGGCUGGGAAUGUCAGGUCGGUCCGGCAGCGGCUUCCCUUGGUGACUCCCAGCUGUGGUUCCCUGGAAUCUGAGUGCGCCUGGUGUCCGUGGGCAGCGUGGUGUGUUCCCAGAGCCCUGUGGCAGCUUCGCCGCUCCCCUCCCCACGGCCUCUUGGGCUUCAGGUGAGGUCCUGAGACGAGGUGGCUGAGGCGUAAGUGAUGGUGAUACCCAGACAGCCCAGCACCUGGGGAGAAGGAGGAUGAGCUCAUUUAAUUAGAAAGAGCACGUGGGUCUGAUUAACAUCCUUGGAAAAAGAGAAUUUUACAUGAACAUCCGCUCUGAACCCAGCCCUGUGUUUGCACAGCCUUGUGAGUUUGGCCUGGCCUCCAUUGUGUAAAUGAGAAGUUAAGGGCCAGAGUGAUUAAGUAGCUUUCUUAAGGUUGGUGGCCAGGGUGCAGAUUUUAACUCACUCGAGGCCAUCGGCUUUAGAGCCCCCGUUUCAUCCUGUUCUUGUUUGCGGGGGCUCUUUACAUCCCAUGGCAUUCUCUCUGAGCACCCUGCCACUGCUCCCGGGAUCUUGGGGAUGCCCCAGAAGCUUCAUUCAUGUGUCCUAAAUGCUACUUUGAAGGAAAGUUCUCAAGGACAGAGGAUUUCCAAGUCCUGGUCUCCUUCUUCCCUUCGUUCCUCCUGUCCCCAGAUAUUUAUGGAACCUUUAUCGCGGGCUGCCGCAGCGCAGUGCCCAGCACAAGGAACAAGUCAGAGCUCCCUCAUCUCCUAGAAUUCGUGUUCUUAUAGGGAAGACAGACAUUCUAAACAAACACUCUAAGUCAUAACAGAUUGUCAUACAGGAUGGGAAGGAAGCAAGGGAAACUUGAAGGGUAAGAAUAAACCAACCACGUGACCACCUAAGGAAGAACAUUCCGGACAAAGGAAACAACAAAUGCAAAGUAGCGUGGGGCUCUUUGGGAGCCAACAGAGGUCGGUAUGCACAGAGCGAGGACGCGAGGAAGGCAGAGGCCAGAUCCCUCCAGAUCUCGCAGGCUGCGGGAAGGAUUUGGAAUUGGGAGUUUGAACAAGAAUGGUUCUGGCUGCUCUCUGGAGAAGGGGUUAGAGGAGGGCAAGAGUGCAGACGGGAAAGCAGAACAGGUGGGUGGCGGUUCAGGAAGAGAUGGGAGCUGUGGACAUGGAGAGAAAGGGACGGACCAGAGAUGGAACUUGGAGGCAGAACCGGCCACACGAGGGAAUGGAGGGCGUGAGGCACUAGGUCGGACAAAGAGCCAGUGGUGACUCUUGGGUUCCCCGUGGUGGGAGCAUCAAGAUUUCUCCCAUGAAGCUAUUAAGAGAGAGAUGCCCGUGAGGCAUUUGGGUGGAGAGAGCAAAUAGGUGAGUGGGCACACGAGCCUGCAACCCAGAGAGGGGAUGCCCACUUCUGCCCUGCGGUGGUCCGGCCAAGCCCUCUGGGGUCCUGGGAGGCACUCAGUGCUGCUUGACAUCGUUUCUGUCAUCGUCUGCUUAAUGAUGACCAUGGAAAGAAAGCAAGAUGAUUGCAUGACUGAGUCACACAAAAGAAGAACCUUGGUCAUCCCUGUGAUCACGUGCCUUGGGGUAGGGGCGUGGAAGUAGCCGCAUUUGGCAGGACGUGGCUGGGCUACUGAAGAAUUCAGAUGCAUCUGGUUUUCAUGGAGGGGACCUUGCUUGACCCCUGCGGUCCUCGACAGGGUAUGGGAUGCACCUAAGCUCUGAAGUGAUCGAUUCUGAUUUAUAUCCAGGUUGGGGUAUAAUUAGCAGUCUUGAUUUACUGUCACUGUGGCCUGAAGCCUUGCCAUCUCUGCCUUCUGUUUGAGUGGAUGUACGUGGUGGGUUCCUGAGGCACGGUGCUGAAUGGGCAUCCGAUUGACUCCUUGGCAGAGCACAGACGGCAGCAGCUCCCUGCCAAAAGAAAGCAGCUCACAAAUCGGGAAAGCGAGCUGCCUCCCGGAGAUGGGUGGCUGGGGAACAGGAGGACGGCAGGGUGAGUAAAGCAUGUCUGGGCAGACGUGCUGGGCCCUGGUGGGGGAGGACGGCCCGCCGAGGCCGGGCAGGUCGGCUGGGGCUGGGACAGCUGGGCUCCCCCGCUCGCCACCACUGGCCCCCGGCUGACAGCCGCCCUGCCUGGUCUCUGUGACUGCGGCCCAUAAAUACUAAUAACGACUCCUGUUUGUAGCUUUGUGUGCAGCACCACGCUGGGAGUUUAUUUUCAUGAAUCUCAUUUAAUCCCAACUACGGCUCUCUUUGGUAGGUACCACUGAUCCCCCCUUUUAAAAGCCAGCACUGGGAACGUUGUUUUCUGAGAUGCACCCACACCCCCAAGGGUGAAUGAGGGUGCUGGGAGUUGGAACCCAGUCUCCUUGGUUCCAAGGCCAGAGCUGUGCACAGCCUUCCUGGACCUGGACGUCAGCACCGGCCAGGUAGUCCUAUGUGGUGGCUGGCUUCUGUCUUCUAGACUUGCUGGGUCCAGCUGGCUUGGUUGUUCCUGGGAUAGGGACCCCAUCUCUGGCUCAUGUGCUUUGGGGGAGCCUGGUGAGAGACUGAUGGCAAAAUUCUCUGUGAACAGGUCACCAGUCAGACUUUCCUUGUUUGUCCUUUCUAGGAAGUGGACAGUCUUUGAGUUGCUUUUGUGAGUUGCUCUGAAGCUCCAUUCCCCGGGGAGGGGGUGUUGGUCAGAUGAAGCUCUUCUGCCAACCACGUAGGCUGGUUACAGGCACUGCAUGAGAGGAGGGCUUGACUCCCUUGGGCUCAUUUAUAAAGCGGGGUGACCCCUCCUCACGAGGCUGUUGGGACUGUGUGUGUGAGAGAGACGGUGUAUGUGAAAGAACAUUCUAGAAAACAAACGGCAGGUGAUUGUGAUUAUUUUUACCAUCUCCCCUUUUAUGAAAAUACAGGCUCAAAAAGAAGGCCUCUUGGCCUUCUUUUAUUUUAGUUAUUAGUUUAUUUCGUUUCUUCUUGCAGAGGUAAAACCAACAAUUUCCAUAAUUCUGGUGAGAUCAGUGAAGUAGGUAUAUUACCUGGGCUGGACUUUGGCAGCCCCAACCCACGUCCACGCCAUACACACACCCCUGCCGCUCGCUCCCUGACCUCGCCCACCUUCUCUGCCCACUGCCCCCACCCUGAUCCAUCCAGCCGUGGCACGUGGCACGCUUCCUUCCCUCCCUCGAGGCGGGCUCUCUUCCUGGGUCCCUCCCUUCUUCAACUCUCCCUUCCCAGCCGCCUUGACUCAGAUCGGCCUAGAAGGUUGUUGAAAAGGUUUAACAAAACGAGGUCUUGGGUUUUUCUUAUAGGAGUCACAGAGAGGUUUCAGCCAUAGGAUUUGGAAUUAUAUCAAAUUGGAUUAAAAUCCCAGGCCCGCCAGCUCCCUGUGGGCGCUUAGACGAGAUCCGUAAUCUCCAAUCCUUUGUUUUUCCAUGUGCGCAGGGGAGGGAGGGUAAGGAGAAUAACUUUCUUGUAUGGUUUUUGUGCAGAGGGGCUGGCACCGUGCCUCGAAGGUAACGUGGGCUCACUCAAUGCUGGCGUCCUCAUCAGUGCUCUUCCUGUCUGCAUCAUCGAUGUCACCCCCCUGACACCACUGUGUCACCACUGCCACUAUCCACCGUCACUGCCUGUGCUCUUCCUGCCCCUGCCCCAAGGCACAAGUAGGCUUCCAGGCCGUGGAGCCUUGCUUCUGCACAGCGUGCCACAGCCAGCCGGCCUUCCUCCAGACGCAGACGUGUGUGGACGACAUCCUUUUUGGCCGAUUUGGGAUGACCUAGGUCUGCGCAGUGGCGCAUGGCGUGCCAGAACACGGUUUCCGGAGCCCAAUUUCCUGGGUCCCUUCACCACCCAACCUCCCUGCAUCUCUGCUCUCGCACCUAUAACACAGGAGGACAAAAAUAUCCCCGCCCCCACCACCGAGAGGGUUAAAUGAGGCCGAAGAGGCAAAGCCCUAGGAACGGCGCGGUGCCUGGUCUGUGCUGGAGAACCCUUGCGCAUUCCCGCCCCCUGCAGCAUGGCGUCGAAGGGCCAGGGAGGUCAGGGGCAGGGACAAGGAGUGAGGCCUGGCCAGCCCAUGGACAGGCAGCUUUCAGGGGAGGGCCCCGAAUCACAUGCAUAUGGACAAGAGCAGUAGGGUGGGCCAUGGUCUCCUGUCGUGCCAGGAGGACGAAGACAUGGGCGGGGCCUGGCAUGGAGGGGCCUCGGGGGCUCACUUAGGUUGCUGCUGAGACCACAUCUGACAGAGGGAUGUGACCAUCACCAGCCUCUGUCCCCCACAAAGCCUGUCAGAAAUGCCAAAUCCUGGCAUGGGUGGACACGCUCCCAUCUGGUGGAGUAAAUAAUCAGGCCGUGGGCAUCGGAUCUCUGGAGAGAAGACCAGUCAUGUGGCGGCCACGUCCAAGGGUUAUAGCGGAAGUGUGCGUGGGUGGCUGUCCUGGGGCCGCAGAUGGGCCUGGUGGUCAUCCACGAUCUCUCCUGAUAGCCGUACGUGUAAUUACAGAGUGUUAUUUGCCGAACUUGAGCAGUAGAUGGUUAUUAAAAGGGCAUGCAUUUAUCAUUGCCGGAGAGCUGCCGCUCAGGGACACGUUUGCACCAUGUGACUUCUCUUCGCCUCUCUGGGUGGGGCAGGGGGCACCUUUCCCCAAACAGGAGGACGGCACCCACCCCCUUGUCAGUUCUCCAGGAUGAGUUAUGGUCUCAUCCGGGCUCUUUUCCGGGAUGUGAUGGCUGUUCAAGGGAUCCUUGGCCUGUUCCCCUGCGUUUUCCAAGGAGUUUGAAUAAUAGCACAGGACAUCAUAUGGUGUUUAUAUUCCAAGGAACAAAGUGCUUGGCAGGCACAAUCCUAUUCAUCCUUUCUGUGUCCCCAAGUGCCGGGGAGCUGCUUUCUGUCUCCGAGGCCUUUAGCAGCAGAGCAUCGUCCCCAAAAGUCCAGGUGGCCCACCAGAGCUGCGCAGUGUGUGGCUGUCCCCGAGGCCACCGCCCUGAGAUUUGGGUGGCUGGUGGUUCUGCCUUCUCCGAGAAGCCCCAGUGGCCGCCCGUGUCACUGGGAUCCUGGAAGGCUGGUUUCCUAAGCCCAUCCCUGCCUCCCACGGCAGCCCCAGCCCUGGCUGCACGUAUGCCUCCACGCUUUGAUGCUGUCAGAAGUGCCUUUCUCCCCAGAUGCACAAAAUAAAACAAACGUGGCAGGAAGGAAAAAAUAUGCUGGUGAUUGGAAAAUCCUUUCUGCAGACUCCUUUGACAGGCUCUGCUGAGUCCUUGGCGCCUUCCCUCCCAAUUUACAGCGACCUUGGGAGGGAAGAGCUUGCCUCUGACUGUAGUCCCGCGCGGGUCUGCCCCAGGCUCAGGGGCUCAGGUCAUCAUGGCCCCGGGGGUGCAGAUAAGGAGAGCUACGCCCCAGCACACACAGCACCCCUUCCUACAAGGGCACCCUGCCUGAGUAUGGUACUGGGUGCGGGUGGCCUCAGGCUCCGAGCUGUUUCCUAUCAAGUGUUGACAAGUUCCAGAGUUCAGGGAAAAGACAUGUCCAAGGGUCAUUGCCCUUCCCUCCCCUCCCCCAACUGUCCCAGCAGAGGGCAGUGUGCCAGCUGGCUCCAGGAACAGAGCCUCUAGAAGAGACCAAGGACAAAGGACUGUCAGCUUCCCUCUUGGGAAGUUCUUCGCUUGCCUGCCCCUGUCCCUUCGGAGUUUUAGACUCCUUCCUCUUGUGUGUUCCUAACAAGGGACAUGAAGCACUGUGUGUCCUCCCAGACGUCCUCUGUCUAGGUCCUCAAGCAGAUUUCGCUGUCAGGGCCUCCGACCUCCCGCUCCAGGACACAACAGGAUGGUGGGGUCAGUUGGGCAGCGCCUGGCUGCAGAUGCUCCUGUGUGAGUCCCUUCUCCCCGGCACCCUCUCUGCAUGUUUGGCGGCCAGCAAAUGGCUGUGAUGGCGGUGGGAAUCGAUGUUUAUGGACUGGUGAGUGAUCGCUGCUGCUUUACGAGGCUGGCUGGGGCUAUGUGUCAUCUACCGCUCCUUGGUGUCCCAGCCACACAUCACUCUGUGGUCCUUCUGGGGGCUGUUCCAGAGGCUUCCUGCUGGCAGACUCUGGCCCCAGCGUGGACUCCCCGUGCUGUCCGGGCAUCAGAUGAAUCGGGCUAGGUCUGCUCUCAGCACCCCUACCCUGGCCUUUGAAACCCAGGGAUAGACACAGACUCUCCCUGCCCCCGGGCGGGUCAGCCUGGAGUCCAGCAGAUGCCUUGAUUCAAGUGAGCCCCUGGCUGGACAAAUGCCCUUCGUGCUGAGGCUGGGAAGCCCAGACAGAUGGGCAGUGCUUCAAUAAGGCUGGCCUCCUGCCCUCCCGGGGUCAGAGGACACUGUGGGCCAGGACUGCUGGUACCUAGACCUUUACCCCCAGCCAAGACCUUCAGCAGGGCUGUCCUCAAAGUCUCAAGUGGGAUUUCCUCGUCACAGACUCUGAUUGUCGUAUACUUCUUAGUAUACUUAGUAUACUUCUUAGUUUGGGGGAUACACACAAUACAUGAGGUAUAGUGAUAGGACCCACUCUCAACAGACGGGGACGGGUCUCACAAGCGGGUUACUGUGGUCUCAGCGUCUCUGCAAAGCUCACUGGGGAGAAGUGAACUCUGGAAACAUUACUGAAGAGCUCUGUGCACCUCCGAGCCUUGCAACAUCCAGACAACAGCACCCCUGAAGUUGGGCUGUGUUUAAGUGCUCUCUCUUAGAGCCGUCUGAGAAAAUAACCUCAUUCUGCAAUAAUCAAAAUGUAACUGGGUUUUAGAUAUGCAAAUGCUUUAUGUAAUGUUUAUUUGGAGGAAAAUUCAGCUCAGAAAUAUGGGUGUGAUCUCCCUGUCACCUAUGUAAGCUGGUGAUAUUGGGGGCUGCGAGGUGAAGUUGUGAAGAAAUUGGAGGCUUUGAGAGAAAGUGUGGGGUCAGAAGAAGAAUGACCGAGGAGUCAUGCUGUUUCACUUUAAAUUAUGCACAAGCUCAGCGUGAGCCAAAACCAUGGGGGGCUGCCCAACAAGUCUGGAGGUCUGCGCCUAGAUUACUAGAAGUAUAGAGCCCAGAGUGUAAGGGAUGAGAGGGGUAUCUUUGUACUCCAUGCUGUCCCCUGCAUCGCAGGAAUCUGACUGCAGGUGUGGGACAGGGAUGAGACAAAGUUGUAAAAGCCGUGGAAUAGACUUGGGAAGGCAUGGUAGAUACAGGCCUGCAAAUACUUAAGAGCCUGCCACACUUGUGUUUGGUGGGCUGCUUGAGCAAAUCUAGGACUGAUGUAUGUCAGCCCCAAGGAAGUGCAUUCUUGAGUUACUAAGCAAGAAUUCUUGAUGAACCAGAAUCGUGCAAAGGCAGGGUGCUGGGUAUGGGUGGAUGCUGAGCGUUGGGACCCUGGUGCGUCAGUGGGGACUGGUCUGCCUGGGGCCAGGGACAGCCUCACAUGGAGACUUGUCACCUAGUGUCCACUUCCCUUCUGUGCUCUGAUCUUCCUGCUUGCAGGGUGACUUUGGCAAAGACAUUGUCUGGCUCCCCCUGUCCCCUGCUGCGGGUUAUGGCCAUGACACUGAAUGAGCUGCAGGGCCCCUUGGAAGCAAGGGGUAUCGGCAAUACAAUGACCCCCCCUCCUGAGGCAGAUGUAUUUUCCCUGGGAUGAAGUUCUUGGCAGGCUGGCUUCUCCCAGGGCCAGGCUGGACCAUUACUAGCGGCACGUCGGGUUGUGAAAUGAAAGUCGUUCUGGUUUUUUUUUGUAUUCUCCACAUCCACUAAUUUAGUAAAUGCCAUUAAAUGCUGCACUUGUCUGUGGCUCAUAGAGAGUGCUGGGGAGUGCUGAGACCUAGUGUUUGAAAAGCUCCAACAGAGCAGGGGGGUGAGGCUGGUGGGGUGCCAGGGCCGAGUUGGGGGGCUCUGCACAGACACAAGAGGCCACAGGGAUGAAAACAGAUUGGGGGCUCUGAGGGGAAGCGGGGUAGAUAAGCAGGUGGCUUACACCGGCAAGCGAGGGGCUCCAGGGAGUCAUUUGGGAGUAACUUGGGGCACUUGGGGGUUCUAGGAGUAGAGAUGAAGAGAUGAUGGGGGUGAUUUUAUUCAAGUGGGUUUGUAUGUCUGGGUCUGGUCCUGUUCCUAGGCUGUGGCCUGCUCAGGCCCUCCCACCCCCUCCUACCCAUUCAUCCGUCCAUCCAUCCAUCUGUGUGUCCAUGGAGCAGAUGUUGAUGUAUUCAAGGCAUGUUCUAGGCCCUCCCAUGGAAGAGGAAUAGAUGAACAUGAACCUGGUCCCAGCAGCUGGUGUUUUAGUAGGGGUGGGUGACUAGUCUACACAGAAGGCUUGGCAGGUCCCUGAUGGGCUGCCCUGGGGCCAGCCCUCGCACAGGAGGUCACUCUUGGGGCAGGCCUCCCCUGCAUGGGGGACAGAUUGCUGGCAGCUACAAGGGGAAGCAGGGAGUGGCUGUCUGCUGUGCUAAGUCAGGGGUAGAAGCUCAGAAGGGAGGUUGGUUUGAAGGGGAAAUUAUGGGACUCACCCCCAGAGAAAUGGGAUGUCUGCAUGAAAAAUACAUAAGGACAUGAGGCAGAAAUACGUAUUAAAACUACAAAUCAAUAGGAUUCAAACUAAAGAGGAGGAAAAGUGCCAUGGGGAUAUUUGGCUAAUUACAACAGGCUUAAUAAGUGAGGCAAGCCUGGAAUGCUUGUCCACUCUAUGGCCAUAGCCGGGCUAGGGCUCAGUUUGCCCAGUGUGCAUCUGGUGGGUGGGCCCAUGGGUGACAAGGAAGGUCCCGAGAUGGCCCUUGGAAAGGGCCUGAACCUUCUCCCUUCUGCAGUCAGUGAAGGGCUGCACAAGAGAGCCCUGUAGGAGGGACACCCAAAGCCAUUGCCAGGGAUGAGGCUCUGUUCUAGGCUUUGGGGAGUUAGCAAGGAAUGAAACUGACCCAAACCCCUGCCCUCACGGAGAUCAAGGCCUCAGGCAAAUGCAACGGUAGGAGCUUGUUUUCUUACAUUUCGAUGUGGAUUUAUUUGGGGUGCGGCAUUGAAAACACUUAGAAAUGCCCUCAGUUGGGGCAAGGGGCAGGGAGCAGGAAGGCCGGGUAGUCAGGACGGUCGCUGGUCCUCCCCGGCUGGAGAGGGGUGCUGACCAGGCCUCGACCAUAUCAUGUUGGCUGAUGACCUUGGGUCGGUUGGUGCUAACCUUGGCUAGACCCUGGUUCCCUGAGUCACCCUGCCUCAGCCCAGAGUCUCUUCCUGGCUUGGGUUUGACUGUGGCUUGGUCCUCUUGGCUGAGACAGGCCUCUGGUUUGGAAGGGAAUUUUCCCGAAGGCCCCCAGCUAGUUCUCUGACACUGAGUGUUAGCUGUGCCACUGCGGGCCUCAUCUCCUUCCUACGCGGGGUACCUUCCACGUGGGCUCCUCUCCUCCCUCCUCUGCCCUCCCCCAUUCCUGCUGCACCCUCCCCAGCCCCUUGCUCUAGCUUCAGAGGCCUGCUUCCUGUCUUCCUGCCCUCCUGUCCGGCAAACCUGUUCUGCCCUCGGUUCCUCACUCUUGCCCGUUGCCGCACACCAGACAUCGGUCUCUUCCCUGCCCUGGCCCGGUUCUCACCAGCUUCCCAGAUGGAGUCUUGUUACCUCUUUACUCCUCUCAUGUUUUAUUGUCCCUUCCAGAACCAGGAUGCUGCUCCAGCCCUGGAAGGGGACACACCGGGUUCUUCCUGUGAUGGCUGUCUUCUCGCAGUAGCCAGGGGGUGGGCGCCUGGCAUGGGGCUGGGGCUGGGGCAGGGUUUCUUGGCUUCUCUCCACACAUGGGGCUGGGUUGUUCUUUGUGGUGAGGGGCUCUUCUGGGCAUUGUUGUUGUUUGGCAGUAACCUUGGGCUCUCUUCACUUGGAUGUCAGCAGGAGCCCCCCACUCCAAGCUGUGUGAACCAGAAAUGUCCCCAGACAUUGCCAGAUGUCCCCAGAGGAGCAAAAUCGCCCUGGGUUGAGAACCACCAGGCAGGGAUGCAAUGGCACCGUGUCUCAGGCUUGGCUAAGCUCUUGCUGGCAGGGACCUAAGAAGUUCUCUAGUCUAAAGCCCACAUUUUAAAAGAAAUUGGGCCUCAGAGAGCUAAUGAGUUGUAAGGUCACACAGGGGAACGGCCUGAUGAAAGCAGCAUCUUGGAAAAAGGAUUUAGGCUGCUCCGUGCAGGCUGAGCUGAGAAACAGGCCAGAGGCAGGAAGGGGAGUGUGGCUGGGACCUGGGCGUGAGGCAGGGACUGAGGCAAUGCCUUCCCUGUCUGUCCAGGCUCAGUGUGCACUCAGCGUUCUCCUGGAGUGAGGGUCUGGGAGAGGCCCCACACCAAAAACCCGGAAUCUGGGUGUGGGUCCAGCCUGGCAGUGGGAUGGCUGCGUGUCCCCUGUUGCUGUCCUUAACUGUGAAAUUAGGGCCUGAUUGUUUUCUUCCUGCCUGGGGGUUCUGCCUGUGGGUCUGAGAGGGGAGCAGAGGCGUCAUCUCAACAGGAGAGCCCUGAGGGUAUGGAAGAGUGGCCGUGGGGUUUGCAAGAGGCCCCCCCUUUGCAUGGCUGGGGCGUCAUUUACUCAGCAGACUUUGCGUGCAAUGCCCCCUACACUCCCGAACUGAAUCACAGGCAGUGUGUGGGCACUGCCCCACCUGUAGGCACAGGGCUUACCUGGGAUCCAGCCCAGGGCAUGGUGGGACCUCAGACCGGGAGUGAGAGGGCAGCAGGAAUGGGACCAGAGCCAUGGGCCCUUCUCCUGUGCAGGAAGGAGGCUCCAGGGUGGGGGUUUGGGAAGCUUGUAGACCAAAUCAAAGAGUGUGGAGCAUGAAGUCAGAGAUCUGUUUUGCGAGAGAUGACCAGGUCCUGGGAGUUUCUGAGCCUUGAAGGUUUUCCCAGUUAGAGGCUCUUGGACUCACAGCUGUUCUCCCCAGGAGGGAGCGGGAGAACGGAGGUACAGAGGGGCCCCUGCCCGGCCCGCUCCCCGUGGGAGCUGGCUUCCGGGGCAAGGUGUGCCGGGAGAACUUUCCAGGGCCAGGGAGGGUCCUGGGGGCUCCAGAGUCCCCACAGCAGGGCAGUAGCGAAUGUCCUGCAUCUCCAGGGGUCCCCAAGCCAGUCCCUUUAGCAGGCUCCUCAAUCCCUGGGGAGUGACCUGGCAGCCGUGGGCUUUCCUCUCAAUCAUCCCAGUCUCUGGCUUUUUGAGCCAUAAAUCUUCAGCAUGAAGAUCAUGAAUUUCCAUGGUAUGAUUAAUGAAACAAAAAUUGAGACAGCAGUAUAGAAACUGACCAGACUGAAAAAAGUCCCUGUGAGAAGUUGGAGGACCUUUCAGAGCUUCUGACCCGUCCUGGAGCGCCACCUAGUGGUCACAUGGGUGGUGGCACCCACCCCCUGGAAAACUGUGGAUGCCCAUGGAUAGGGUGGAUGCCCACACCUUGGGAGCCUUGACAUAGUUCCACUGGGACUGCUCUCAGGUACAGGGGCCACAGGAGCCCUCCACAGCGUUGGGGGGCAACUCAGGAAGCUGCUCCACUCAGUCCCACUCCUCCCUGGCUGCUUGAGCCAUCUCUGCUUUAGGAAUGCAUGGGAAUACCCCCACUUCUUUUGUCAUGCCCCAGUCUGGAUCACCUUUCUGUUUCUUCAUCUGUGAAAAUCCUACUCAUCUUUUAAAUCCCAGCAAGUCCUGUCAAGCCUGCCUUGUACUGCUGCUCAACAGUCCUCCAGAGCCGCCUGGUAGAGGUCACCACCAGCCUGUGCCUAAUCCCUGCAGUGGCCUCCUGAUUGCUCCCCUGGCUUUCCCCAUUGCCCCCUCCCCUGGGGGCCAUCCCUGAACAGCAGCCAGAGUGAUCUGUCGGAAACAUACAUCAUGUCACUCUCCAGCCUUCCCAGCAUGCUAAGAACACCACUUGCCUCGUCUUUACACUGAUGCCUGCAAGAUCUCACCCCACUUGUCCCCUGCCACCCUGCCUCCUGGUCCCCUACCAUGUGUCACCUCCUUCAUUCCCUUGCAGCCACAUGGGCAGCUUCCCGCUCCCGGGGAAGGCCAGCCUCCUUCCCAACUCAGGGCUUUUGCACAUGCUGUUCCCUCUAUCUAGAACAUUCUUCCACCAUGUGCCCUCCUUCAUUUGGGCCCUUAAUAAUAAAUGCCACCUUUCUUAGAGGGCUUCUGUGACUACUGUGUCCCCUGAGAAUUUCUAACUCCUUGCCAUCCUUAUUUUUCUUCAUGGCACUGCUUGAAAUUGUGUUACUUGUUUGCGUAUGAACCAUCAUGUCCCAUAUAAGAAGAGCCUGCUUAUUGGAGGGGGUGGCUGCUCAUUCCUGCCCCGCCCCCAGGACUCAGAACAGGCCAUGGCACUUGCUAAAUGGGGGCUCAGUUUGGGUGUGUGGAGUGCAAGAGAGAAGAAAAUGCCGCCUCCUCCAGGCAGCCUCUCCCCCACCCCUACCCCCGACCUUCCCUGCACGCAUGUGAGAACCGCUAUUUGCCUACUCACGGGGCUGCCUUGUCUUCCCUGCUCCUUUGGGGUCUCUCUCUAGACCUAGAGCAGCUUGAGAACAGGGGUGCACUCGAUUUUUGAGGUCACAGUGUAACUCCUGGCACCCAGGAGCUGCUCGGUCAGGGCCUUCCUGAGACUGGCACCUGGUGCAGGCAACCCACUUCCCAGGCUUUCUCCCCUUUAAAUUCUCACAGCAAUCCUGGAGGCAGGCGAUUGUAUGCUCUUUGGGUCUACAAGGAGUUUGCAAGGUCGCACCAGCAGGAAAGGCUGGAGCUGAGGGGUCAGAUCCCUGUCUGUGCCCUGCCCCCCAGGUCCUUGCAUGUCUGCUUUCCCCCUGCCUGGAAUAUUCUCAUCCCCCACCUGCCCUGAGUCCGCACUCAGGACUCUGCCCUGAGUCCGCCCGUCCUUUGGGGACUGAUUGCCUCCUCCAAACGGACAUUACUGGCCAGAGCAGAGUCCCAGGAAGGCAGGGCUCUGAAGAGGUUGUGGCUUCUUCUUCUGGCUCAGAAGGCAGCAGGCUACAGGUACUCAGUAAAUGUGGUCUGGCUGAUGGAUGGGCUCCUCAGACUCUGCAUACUUCCUGGGAGCUGCCGGAGCUGCUAAGGCUGGGGGAGGUGGGGGGGUGGGUCGGCUCUGUGGAGCAUAAAAUCAGACAGUUGUGGAGACUCGCAACCAGUGAAAGCGAAGUGUCCCCAGGUGAAGCCAGUGGCGUCACAGCCCCAGGGAUGCCAUGGAGAGAGCCAGUUUUCCGGCUCACGUGGAUGGCCGGCUGAGGCAGUGAUGGGUUUGCAUGGCCUGUGUGUCCACCAGCCCGAUGGGUCCCCUUCUCCUCCAUCUGUGGGAAACCUGUUCUUCAGGCACCUGAGAACAGCAGGCCUGUGGCCCCUUUGGACAGGGCAGCGGGACACAGGCGCCUGGGGGUCCGGCUCUGAGCAUCCCCCCGGUCCUGACUCUUUCCCUGCCCGCUGUGCCCCACCUCCUGGACUCCCUCUUGAAUGCUGGGGCCUCUCCUCUGACAAGUGGAAUAACUGUGAUCCCCUGUGUGUGUCUGGGACCCUCCAUAGUUGUUACAGGAUUUUGCCUGUGUCUUUUAAAAUCAGAUCCCUGAGUGACGGUAGGAGAUUUGUGUCGUGCUGUUUGCCGGGCAGGAAAACAGACAUGGAGAGGCUCAGGGCUUGUCUGGGUCUCACAGCUGAUGAGCACAGGCCCAUGGCCCUAUCUGACCUGUAGCCCUGUUCUCCCCCUUUCCCAGUCUCAGAGUUGGGGCAUGGGGCCUUGCAAACUCUGGGGCCAUGGGGAUGAGCCCCCAAGCAGUGCUGAUCUAAUGGC